CCUACGGGCGGCAGCAGUGAGGAAUAUUGGUCAAUGGCCGGAAGGCUGAACCAGCCAUGCCGCGUGAAGGUCAGUGCCCUAUGGGCGUUAAACUUCUUUUGUGCGGGAGCAAUAAUGGUCACGUGUGGCCAGACGAGAGUACCGUACGAAUAAGCAUCGGCCAACUCCGUGCCAACAGCCGCGGUAAUACGGGGGAUGCAAGCGUUAUCCGGAUUUAUUGGGGUUAAAGGGUGCGUAGGCUGUGAGGUCAGUCAGCGGUGUAAUGCCGCCGCUCAACGGGGUGAAGUGCCAUUGAUACUGCCUUGCUGGAAUGCGGAAGCCGUGGGAGGAAUGUGUGGUGUAGCGGUGAAAUGCAUAGAUAUCACACAGAACACCGAUUGCGAAGGCAUCUCACGAAUCCGCGAUUGACGCUGAUGCACGAAAGCGUGGGUAUCAAACAGGAUUAGAUACCCUUGUAGUC
rnacentral:rRNA from 1 species